CACCAGCUCACGCUCCUGCUAAACCUGCCUUCAGGAGACCGGCUUUAACUUCACACAGACCAGAGUCCUGUCUCAGUCUAAGAGCUGCCAGAGACAGCGACCGGCACAGACGGCAGGAGACACGAGAGAGACAGAAAAACAAAGAGUGAAGCGGACAGACGUGACCGUGGAAGCAGAGCCGCCUAUCAGCGGGACACACAAACAAAGCAACAUGUUUCCUGCGAGAGGGACGUGAUGCCAGCGGAAGAACAACCACAGGAGCCGCAGAUGAUCGAACAGCAGAGAAAAGACUCGUUGGUCGAGCGUCACCAUCUGCUGUGGAGUGUGAGGUGUGUUUAGCACAGGGCCUGAAAACAGCUGCUCUCUCAUUCUGACAGCAGGGGGUGCCAAGAGGCAAAACAUGGUGCUGGAGCACCUAAAAUCAAAGCAAAACUGUCCUAGA